AAUAAAUUAAUAACAUUCACUCAUAUAAUCGCGAGGAUAUGGCUCGCAAGUUUCUACCGGGUUACCGUAAAUGAUCCGACUAUGAGUGAGCAAUGUAAAGGA
rnacentral:ncRNA from 2 species